ensembl:rRNA 5S_rRNA 5S ribosomal RNA
GUCUACGGCCAUACCACCCUCAAUGUGCCUGAUCUUGUCUGAUCUCGGAAGCUAAGCAGGAUCAGGCUUGAUUAGUACUUGGAUGGUAGACA